AGCGCUCUUUCUCUGCUGGCUGGACUUUGUGUGUACACAGUUGUGUAGCAAGCUUGUGACUGCAUGAUCAUCAGUCCUAGCUUUUGACCACACUAAUGUCAGAUGAUAUUAAUAUUAAUAUCUAUAGGUCAAAAAAUCUUGCAGACGUGGAGUUUGUUGUGAUUAUUAAGGGUGGUGGUAUGUUCUCUUCCAUCACUGAUUUCAGACAUUAACUAUGAAACGGUGUAGGUCUGAGUUGUUCAGAAGCCUGUUGAUCCUGAUGCUUGUUCCUCAUACAUUCUUUACCUUUUCCUAAAUUCUUUCAUCUCAGUUUCUGGACUCGGUGGGUCUGCCCUUUCAUCCCAUGACAUAUUUGUAAAAUCAUAGAAGUCCACCUUGUCCCUGGGAGAUUAAGCCAUGCAGACUGCUCAGUGACCAGGUCCACCUUGAGGGAACAAGGCUCUGCUGCUAUCCUUCCCCAGGUCUUGGAGUGGGUUUCAGGAAAACGCAGGAGUAAACCACUCCUUCCCUCCUGCAGUUAUUUGAUUCCAUACUUUUUUUUCUUUCCAAAAGAUGCUUUUGUUUCAAACUGACUUUUUCACUUGCUUUUACAUGAUAUCAAUGGUUCUCCAUCUUUUUGGAGUUGUCUCCUCUGAAUCUAAUGAAAACCAUGGCCUAAGGACAAUGUCUAUUCACACAUAAACAUUCAGACACUCACAGGGACCCCACCUGAAAAGCCUCAUGUGGACCCACCUCAAGAACCUCUACAUGGGCUGGUGUCAGGACACUUCAACUUGGCAGAUCCUGCCUCAGUUCUGUGUCCCAAAGGGAGCAGACUUUAUCCUGCUGUCACUUACUCUUCUGUCCCAGGAAAUUGUAAGUGAGAUCCUGAGGUUUCUGUGUCAACCUGUGGAAAUAGUGUUUUCUUUUCUAAUUAAAAUGCCAACUGAAGAAAAUCAGAAGUAGAUUUUGUGAAAUCAAAAAAAAAAAAUGCACUUGUCACCUAAUUCUCCAGAACUAUCUCACCAAUUGGAAGACAAAUUCGCUGGAUGUAACAGGCCUUCAUCACCGAAUCUAUCAUGUUAGAGAAAAAUUCAGACCGACUUCAAACACUUCAACAUCCCCUCCAAAAACACACAAAUGCUCAUCUCAUUGUGGUCCUUUAGAAGACAUUUAAAAACAAUUGACAUUUUUCUUUAAAAUGGGAAGAUUCUGACAUAGUCCCAGGAAUAUUGUUUUAUGAGAAGCAUACAGUCAUUUUAUCUCAGAUGUUUUCUUCCAAGUGUUUUGUAACAAAAACAUUUAUGGAAAGACUCAUUAUUUUGAAAUACAGUUUGAACAGGGAAUGGAUGGAGGGGAUAAUAUUAAUUUCUGUUGCUUUUUCAUGCUACCUAAGAGGAGAAGUCUAGAAACUGAUCACGGUAUUUAUGAUAAAUGCUGGAAAAUGAAGGAUGGUGGGAUCAUCUCCGUCUUUAGGCCAGAUGUUCCCAAAUCUGGAGGUAAAUAAUCAUUAUUUAUAAGAAUCUCAAAGACAACUUUCUUAUGAAGACAACAUAGGCCAAGCCUAUCCCUGGGGGAAUGUUCUGGUAGACAGCUUUCUGACUACCUUGCCACCAAUCUCUUCUUCUAGUGGUACCCUUCUUCUAUCCCACCCACCUGUGAGUAUCCAUCACCCUAGCAUGACCUUGUUGUCCCUGUCCUCUGUAACAUCCUGUCAGGGCCCAGGAGCCUUAGCAAAGUCAUGGUCUUUGAGAUUUUUUGCUUUUGUCUCAACACGACACACAUUUGAUCGCCCUUGGUUCUUUCCUCCAAGUGGUGUUCUCUGUUCUUUAUGGUCAAGUUUAGGAAUGGUUUGCUAGACUUAGUCCCUCUCAAAUAAGACAAUUAUAUAUUUUUAAAAAAUCUUCUGUGAUCUAGCCCUGUAGGGAAAACUAGCAAUAUGAAUCAUAGGCUCUGCACUAGAGCAGUGUGGGAGAGAUUUUGAUUACCAAAGAAAUAAAAUUACUCCAUAUAUAAAAAGAAAAUAAUGCUAUAGAUAGGUCUUUUGGUGACAUACAUUUCUUAAGCACCUACCUUACAGUCCAAAUUUUUCUUAGUUUUGAUUGGAAUUCAGUCAAAUUGAGCUGGGUACUGGUAGCAGUUGGUAGCAGCAAUUAUAGCAGAUACAGUUAAGUCCAGAAUUUAGGGGUGAAGAUGCUCUUGGACACCAAGGACUUAUCCUAGAUUGACAGAUGAACCGUGUCAUAGUGCAACAUCUGAUGUUUCUAGAAUAAAAGUAGAAUUUUUAUGUCUAAUCACAUGUUAAGUGGACACACAUGUUAGCAUGAGAUUUGUGGGGAUUAUGGAGUAAACGAUGACCAGUGUGGGAAGUUUCUCUCUAUUCCUUAUACAAAUCAUCCCUGAUAUAAUUCUUGUGCCAGCUUUCUAUCUUCAUAGAUAGCAUCGGAUAAUCAUCUAUCUUCAUGAUUAGCCUCGGAGCCAGCCCUAUUUAAAAAUAUUCUUUAGUCUUUUUGGAGAAAAGGUUGCAUACUCAUGGGUCUAUUCUUUUUAAUAUAAUCAAAUAUACCAUGACUGUGUUGAUCAUAUAGAAAGUUCUGGAAAUUUCCAUUAAAAUCUAAGUGCUUUUCCAAGGAAAUUUUUUUUUUCUUAAGUCCGUAAAGAGACCUCUAAGUGCUGCUUUUCUCAUUCCUUACUUAGAUCUCAGAGAUUCCAACUUCAUUAAAAAAAGAAAAAAGAAUAUUUUUGUUUUCUGGGAACCUGUAAUGAAUAUCAUUGAAUCUAAUAGGAGUUGAAAGCUUCUUUUGUGGGAAAUCUGUUCGUUUCCUGUGGUCUCAGUGUUUGUAAGGAAGGACUUUGUGGUGUUCCCAGGCAGAAAGUCACAAUUUGCAUUUUGGAAAUAUAAACAAAACAAGUACAGAAAUGAUGAUGGGUCCCAGGACUAGGAAACAAAAACAAGACAAACGCACACACAUGCACACACAAACGAGAGAGCAAGUCAGGCUGAAUGCAGCACUUCCUUGGCCGAUUACAACCACUUAUGACUAUUGUUUGCUGCUUUGAAAAUGGGUGAUUAGGGAGUCUGGUAGGCCAAUUAGUUCAUCAGUUAACUAGUGCAUGCUCCCCACUGCUAGUUGCUUCAAAGAAUGAGGCAGGCAGUGCUUACCCUCCUUCAAGUACUUUGGAGACACUUCUCACAUGUUUUUCUCAAUAAAACUACACUAUGUGACUUGCUGGGUCAGUAGUGGAGCUAAAAACAUCAUUUCAAUUGUUGAACCCAGUGGCCAGAUUGCUUCAGAGGCAACGCAGAGCAAGGGAUUCAUUCUAAUUAGACUAAUUAUGCUUCCAAAACACUUUUCUGGUUUUAUUUGUUGAAAUUUUCUUCUUAUCCACUAGUGUUUCUCUGAUUCUCACAUUCACAGGUGAAAUAUUUUUCAAAUGAAUAAAAAUUUUAUGUGUAUCAUUUCAAAAAUAUGGAAAAAGAUUCAAAAGCAUAACCAAUCCUGUCGCAAGACAGAAAAGUUAUAGAUUCCUUUUGCAAAAUACAUACCAUUACCUUUCUGGAUAUUUCAGCAUGUGAUAUGGGCCCAGAAGCUUCUUUUCUUUUUUAAGAUCAUGCAAUGAAACCAACAUACCCCCUACCCUACACAGCUGUAUAGCCCUGCCUGUCCUAGAAUUAAUUAGUGCAAACUAUCAACCUCUUUUUGCAUUUAUCUUUGUUGUAGAUAUAGGUAGACAUGCACAUUAAAUCAUUUAUAUCCCCAUACAUAUAUUUAAAUGUAAAAUAGUUUUGUGUAUCGGGUAUACUAAUAGUCUGUUGCCUUAAUAUUGAUUUCUUUGGUAAGUAGUGAGGCCUAUCAUGGGUUCAUCGACUCUGUAUUUCCUCUUUUAUGAACUGAUUGUUCAUCUCUUUUCCCAUGGUUCUCCGUGUGAUCCAUGGACAGAUAUUUUGUUUUCAUUCAUUGGUCUUUAUCCCUUAUGAUUUCUACUUCUCGUGUCAUGAUUAGGGAGGUUGUCCCUUCUCAUAAAACAAUUAUAUAAACAGCUACAUUUUCUUCUUUUACGAUUUUAUGUUAAAUCCAUCUGGAAUUUCUUUUAGUAUAAGCCAAAGAAGAGGCGAAUCUCUAACUUUAUGUUUUGUUUUCCUCUGUUUUGUUUGCAGUGCUGGAGAUGGAAUCCGGGGUCUUGUGCAUGCUAGAUAAGUGUUUUAACCAGGAGCUGCAAUCCCAGCCCUUGACUGUGAGGUCUGAACAGUUAGCCACACACAAUUCGGUAAUAUGUGCACAAAAUAUGUUUAGUAUAUAUGCACAAUUUAGUAACAAUUUAUCUGUUCCUCACUGAAUGGCUCUUCUACCCUUUUUAUAUAAUAUGGGACAUUUAGGAUCUGCUUCUAAACAUUCUACUCUGGUCCUUUGACUUCCUUGUCCAUGCUAGUACUAGUGCUAUGUUAGAUUAAUUACUGUAACUAGACAAAACAGUCUGUUUUAGCUCUUAGCACAGCAAGUCUACUUGUGUGUCAUGUAAAAUGCUUCACUGGAUUAUAUUCAUCUGUUAAGUGUUUCUCAUUAUUCAAGGUGUUGGUUUGAAUCCUGGGCAGUUUAGUGAAGGCAUCCUGAGUAGCCCUGGACCCCAGUGAAGCCAUGUGGUCCUGUGGCCUUGGAUGCCACAGAUGAAGGAGCCAUUCCUGGAUUCCCAUCUACGCAGCAUUUUUACAAAGUUGAGAUCUGAGGUGAACUCGUUGACAAUCCAGAGAAGGUAGACCUGGAGUCUCAAAGCAUCUGGGGGAGAGCUGACAGAUAGUUUUCCUCCUUGUUGAAUACUGAGUUCUCCUUGGUAUUCACAAAGGAUUAAUUAAUUCCUUUGCUUUCCUCCCUGAAAUCUUGUCUGAGAGCUCCAGGUUUCACAGGAUCACAGAGACAUGGCCAGCUCAUCACGAGAUGCUGGAAGGCACCCGUCAUGUCUGCCGUGAGAGAAAGAGUGAAGUGCAGGACCUGUACAGUGGUCUUCCUGUGGGCUCCUUCCUGACCUGGAACAAGGCAUUGGCAGGCUCCAGAGCUAAGCCUUUCUAGACACUGAGCAGCAACAUCAUGGUAGCCCUGGUGACAAAGUGUACAAGAGCUGAGAAAAUGAGGGAUUCUCUGGACCUCUCCAAGUCCCUGAGGACCAGAAGCCAGGAAGUAGUGAAAGGCAGAAGCUUGGGAGUAGACCUUUCUACUUUCUUGAGAGGCGUCUUCCCAGUGGUAAUGAUGCUGCUUCCUUAAAAGGAAGAAGGGAGCAGGGGACAUUGACUGUUGGAGCCAAGCAAGAAGAGGAAAAACUAUGGUCAAAAGCACUGAUGGCCUGGCCCAAGAAUUAUACACCAGAAAGAAAAGGACAUCAGCCGUGAUCUUCAAGGAUGAAGAAACCAAAACUCUGAGAACAAACAAUGCAUCUAGAGCUGCUACUGCUAUGUCGGAGGCUGCGUCCAGGUUUAGUCAGCAACUCCUUCCUUCUGGCUGGGAAAUCUGAAGGAAUUGUGUCAUGCUACUGUUGUUAAAACAAACUCCAAACCAAAGGGAGGGGGAAAAAAAAAAGAAAAAAACUUGUUCUGGAGUCUAAGGAGAAAUAGUUGGAAUCAUUUAUUUAUUAUAAAAUAACUAGCCCCACAUGCUAUGAAUUACUUUUAAGAUUCUGAAAUUAGGCAAGACUUAGUAAUAGAUCUCCUUCAUUAUCAACAUCAAUGGAAGGUUUAUUAUUUUUUAAAUCGAGUUUUGUUUUGCUUUGAAAGUACUGUCUAGCAUGCUCAGAAUAUUUACACCAGGAAACCCUGUGUUUCUCUCUGUGACGGAGAGAGUUUAUGUUAAACGUCUUUGGGAACCAGCAUCUACACUGGUGGGUGAGACCAGAGUGAACAGGAACUGAAUGACCUGCUCACCAGUUGUUUUUAAGGGCUUCUCGCCUGAAUGGAACUUAGCUUUUUGGGUAAUUCUCUGGACUGAAAAAUAUCAUGAUCUUGAUCUCAGAGGGUUGUCAGUGACCUCCAAGGCAGGCACCACUAUUCCUAGAAAUCGGGUCCUUCAUUUCCUGUCUGACACACUCUCAGAACAUGCUCAUGACAUUUAACUACUCAGUACUGGAACGUGGCUCUCUGGAGCUAGUAGCUUGGCAGAGCCAAGAUGACUGAAAUUCUGAGCCAGCGAGUUCAAGGCACAGUACUCUUGUCUCCUUCUCUUCUUGGGGAUCUCAAGGAGGUGCCCUGUGUGGGAUUUUGCAAAGUUAUGGUAUCAAAGUUUAGUACUUCAUUUUCCCAAAUGAGAAGCACAUAUGCUCAUGAUAAUAUAUUCAGACAGAGGGAAAGCAAUUUUUCAAAAUUGUCUAAUGUUCUACUUGAAUCCUGUGAUAACUACUGUUACCUUGUUGAAUAUCCUUAUAGACUUAAACCUCUCUCUCUCUCUCUCUCUCUCUCUCUCUCUCUCUCUCUCUCUCACACACACACACACACACACACACACACACACACAAUUUAACAAAAGUGAAGUUGUACUAUAUAUCCUCUUUUAAAAUUGUUUUGUUCUCCUGUGUGAGGGGGACUUUUACAUGACAAUAUCAUUACUUUGAAGGACUGCCUGGAAUGUCUUUGCUGUUGUUUUGACUGUUACCUCUUUCGGUUGUUUUUAGAUUUUUUAAAAAUAAAUAAUGCUAUGAUUGAUGAACAUCCUUGAAAAUA